rnacentral:rRNA from 1 species
GACGAACGCUGGCGGCGUGCUUAACACAUGCAAGUCGAACGGUGAAGACAAGAAUCGGAGCUUCGGCAGAAAUUCAUUCCGGAUUAGUGGCAGACGGGUGAGUAACGCGUGAGCAACCUACCUCUUACAAAGGGAUAGCCACGGGCAACCGGGAUUAAUACCAUCUAACAUUGCGACGAAGCAUUUCGAUGCAAUCAAAGCUACGGCGGUAAGAGAUGGGCUCGCGUCCCAUUAACCGGAUGGUGAGGUAACGGCUCACCAUAGUGACGAUGGGUAACCGGCCUGAGAGCGUGAACGGUCACACUGGAACUGAGACACAGACCAGACUCCGACGCGAGGGAGCAGAAGGGAAUAUUGCACAAUGAAGCGUACUCUAAUAAAGCGACGUGGCGUGAGUCAUGAAUCGAGUCGUAACGUAAAACUCUGUGCUAUGGGGAGAAAAGGACGGUACCAUAUGAGAAAGCUCCGGCUAAAUACGUG